GAUGAACGCUGGCGGCGUGCCUAAUACAUGCAAGUCGAGCGAACGGAGGAGAAGGUUGCCUCUCUGAUGUUAGCGGCGGACGGGUGAGUAACACGUGGAGAACAUAGCUAUAAGACUGGGGUAAAUUCGUGAAACCGGAGCUAAUACCGGAAGAACGUUGGAACCGCAUAGUUCAAGAGUGAAAGACGGUCUUGCUGUCACUUAUAGCUGAAUCCGCUCGGCAUUAGCUAGUUGGUAAGGUAACGGCUUACCCAGGCAACGAUGCAUAGCCGACCUGAGAGGAUGAUCGGCCACACUGGAACUGAGACACGGUCCAGACUCCUACGGGAGGCAGCAGUAGGGAAUCUUCCGCAAUGGGCGAAAGCCUGACGGAGCAACGCCGCGUGAGUGAUGAAGGUCUUCGGAUCGUAAAACUCUGUUAUUAGGGAAGAACAUAUGUGUGAGUAACUGUGCACAUAUUGACGGUACCUAAUCAGAAAGCCACGGCUAACUACGUG
rnacentral:rRNA from 1 species